rnacentral:rRNA from 1 species
UUUAGAUUUAAAAUUGUAAAAUUUGAGUAGUAAUAGUUAUGAUCUUGAAACUUAAAGAAUUUGGCGGUAUUUUAGUCUAUUUAGAGGAAUCUGUCCCAUUAUCGAUAUUCCGCGUUGAACCUUACUUAAUUAAUUUAUAUGUAUACCGCCGUAUAUUGAAGAUCUUAUUAGGGUUAAUUUUCUUAAUAUAUUAAUAUAUAAUAUUUCAGGUCAAGGUGCAGUUAAUAAUUAAGUGGUGAUGGAUUACAAUAUAUUUAUAGACGGAAUAAAUAUUGAAAUUUAUUUAUGAAGGUGGAUUUAAUAGUAAUUUUGAUAAGAAUAUUAAAGUGAUUAUGGCUCUAGAAUGUGU